AACGAACGCUGGCGGCAGGCUUAACACAUGCAAGUCGAACGCCCCGCAAGGGGAGUGGCAGACGGGUGAGUAACGCGUGGGAACAUACCCUUUCCUGCGGAAUAGCUCUGGGAAACUGGAAUUAAUACCGCAUACGCCCUACGGGGGAAAGAUUUAUCGGGGAAGGAUUGGCCCGCGUUGGAUUAGCUAGUUGGUGGGGUAAAGGCCUACCAAGGCGACGAUCCAUAGCUGGUCUGAGAGGAUGAUCAGACACAUUGGGACUGAGACACGGCCCAAACUCCUACGGGAGGCAGCAGUGGGGAAUAUUGGACAAUGGGCGCAAGCCUGAUCCAGCCAUGCCGCGUAAGUGAUGAAGGCCUUAGGGUUGUAAAGCUCUUUCACCGAUGAAGAUAAUGACGGUAGUCGGAGAAGAAGCCCCGGCUAACUUCGUGCCAGCCGCCGCAGUAAAAC
rnacentral:rRNA from 1 species